AUUGAACGCUGGCGGCAGGCUUAACACAUGCAAGUCGAGCGGAGAGAGGUAGCUUGCUACCGAUCUUAGCGGCGGACGGGUGAGUAAUGCUUAGGAAUCUGCCUAUUAGUGGGGGACAACAUUUCGAAAGGAAUGCUAAUACCGCAUACGUCCUACGGGAGAAAGCAGGGGAUCUUCGGACCUUGCGCUAAUAGAUGAGCCUAAGUCGGAUUAGCUAGUUGGUGGGGUAAAGGCCUACCAAGGCGACGAUCCGUAGCGGGUCUGAGAGGAUGAUCCGCCACACUGGGACUGAGACACGGCCCAGACUCCUACGGGAGGCAGCAGUGGGGAAUAUUGGACAAUGGGCGCAAGCCUGAUCCAGCCAUGCCGCGUGUGUGAAGAAGGCCUUAUGGUUGUAAAGCACUUUAAGCGAGGAGGAGGCUACUUUAGUUAAUACCUAGAGAUAGUGGACGUUACUCGCAGAAUAAGCACCGGCUAACUUCGUGCCAGCCGCCGCCGUAAUAC
rnacentral:rRNA from 1 species